UACGGAGGGGGCUAGCGUUGUUCGGAAUUACUGGGCGUAAAGCGCACGUAGGCGGAUCAGCAAGUUAGGGGUGAAAUCCCGGGGCUCAACCCCGGAACUGCCUUUAAAACUGCUGGUCUGGAGUCCGAGAGAGGUGAGUGGAAUUCCGAGUGUAGAGGUGAAAUUCGUAGAUAUUCGGAGGAACACCAGUGGCGAAGGCGGCUCACUGGCUCGGUACUGACGCUGAGGUGCGAAAGCGUGGGGAGCAAACAGG
rnacentral:rRNA from 1 species